rnacentral:rRNA from 1 species
AUUAGUGGCGAACGGGUGAGUAAUAUAUCGGAACGUACCUUGUAAGUGGGGGAUAACUAGUCGAAAGAUUAGCUAAUACCGCAUACGCCCUGAGGGGAAAGUAGGGGAUCUUCGGACCUUACGUUAUAAGAGCGGCCGAUAUCUGAUUAGCUAGUUGGUGGGGUAAUGGCCUACCAAGGCGACGAUCAGUAGCUGGUCUGAGAGGACGACCAGCCACACUGGAACUGAGACACGGUCCAG